UCAUCACAAUGGCAUCCCUCCCCUCCCUCAACCCUGUGGUUUUAAACUUGCAUGUUUCCCCCCUUCUUCUUCGCCUGUAUUUGGGCCUAGGAAUUUCUCUGAAUUUUUAUAAGCUUGUAAUGCAAUAUUAAUCAAGGUUUCCCGCUAUAAAAUGCAAUACUUUCACUCGGCUUUCAGGGCUUUCAGAGGAAGUAUGCAUGCGGAGGACGUCGUUGUUUAACAGCAGAGAAAGCUUUUCGUUUUUUGCUUUCAGUAGCUUUUGGCCACAUGGACAGAAGAGAAAGCGGUUCCUUAAAUAAAAGGCCCAAGUUUGCUGUCUUCCAGCGCCCCAGGGCAUGGAGCUAGCCAGCGGUGAGAUUCCAUCAAUUAGUGCACCCCCGCGGCCUCUUGGCAGAGCCCACCUUUGACUGCAGUGAGAUAUUGAUUAGUUCAGCUGCACUGUCAGGUCUGAAGUGUGCAAGGCCCAGUGAUCCAAGGCCUUCACCAGAGACAAGAUCAUGUCAAGUUUCUGACACAUAUCAUCUACAAAGAUCUGUGAAUAUCAGGAGCCGGGAGGGGAUCAGUGGGACUGGACAAGAUCAUUUGCAGAAGAAAUAUAAAGUCCCAAUCUGCUAUGUAGUUCUGGAAAGAAGGCUGGAAGUAUGGUUAGACUUUUAUGUCAACCUUAUAUGCCCCCCCCAUUUGCAAAAAAAAAUAAAAUAAUUUUUU